GCCUACGGGGGGCAGCAGUAGGGAAUCUUCCACAAUGGGCGGAAGCCUGAUGGAGCAACGCCGCGUGGGUGAAGAAGGUCUUCGGAUCGUAAAACCCUGUUGUUAGAGAAGAAAGUGCGUGAGAGUAACUGUUCACGUUUCGACGGUAUCUAACCAGAAAGCCACGGCUAACUACGUGCCAGCAGCCGCGGUAAUACGUAGGUGGCAAGCGUUAUCCGGAUUUAUUGGGCGUAAAGGGAACGCAGGCGGUCUUUUAAGUCUGAUGUGAAAGCCUUCGGCUUAACCGGAGUAGUGCAUUGGAAACU
rnacentral:rRNA from 1 species